AACGAGGCCGACCUGCGGCUGAGUUACCUGCGGAGGGAUCAUUAUUGAAUAUGCUUGAUGGGUUGUCGCUGGCCUCUCGAGGCAUGUGCACGCCUGUCUUGACUCUAUUCAUCCACCUGUGCACCCAUUGUAGUCUUGAAAACUUUUCUGAGGGUCGUCGAAAGAGUGGCUGCUCGGUCAAAAGACCGGAUUUGAGGAUUGCUGUGUUGAAAGACAAAGCUCUCUUCUGUUUCAAAGCCA
rnacentral:misc_RNA from 1 species